UAAGGUCUAACCUGCCCAAUGAAAUUUAAAUGGCCGCAGUAUUUUGACUGUGCAAAGGUAGCAUAAUCAUUAGUUUUUUAAUUGAAAGCUUGUAUGAAGGGUUGGACGAAAUUAAAUCUGUCUUAAUUUAAUUUUAAUUAGAAUUUAACUUUUAAGUUAAAAGGCUUAAAUAUAUAUAAAAGACGAGAAGACCCUAUAGAUCUUUAUUUAAUUAAUAUUUUAUUAAUUUAGGAUUAGGUUAAUUUAAAAUUUUGGUUAAAUUUUAUUGGGGUAAUAUAAAGAUUAAAGUAAUUCUUUUUAUUUAAAUCAUUUAUUUAUGAAUAAUUGAUCCAUUAUUAUUGAUUGUAAGAUUAAGUUACCUUAGGGAUAACAGCGUAAUUUUUUUAGAGAGCUCUUAUCGAUAAAAAAGUUUGCGACCUCGAUGUUGGAUUAAAAAUUAUCUUGGGUG
rnacentral:rRNA from 1 species